rnacentral:ncRNA from 1 species
GAAUAAGCGAUGAGAAAAAGAGUAAGUAUGAAACGUUGUGUAGAGAGCAAAUGGUUGGUGAAAAUUUGUGAAUGAAUCAUAGUGAAGAUGGUUUUUGAGCUUUCGUAUCGAUAGGUAGGUACGAACGUAUGCGGCGUUAACGCACUUAAGGUAUGCACAUGCAUACAAAAUAAGGUGGUAACACGUACUCUCGUCCUUUGG